AUUGGAAAGAGGAGUGGCGGACGGGUGAGUAACACGUGGGUAACCUACCCAUCAGAGGGGGAUAACACUUGGAAACAGGUGCUAAUACCGCAUAACAGUUUAUGCCGCAUGGCAUAAGAGUGAAAGGCGCUUUCGGGUGUCGCUGAUGGAUGGACCCGCGGUGCAUUAGCUAGUUGGUGAGGUAACGGCUCACCAAGGCCACGAUGCAUAGCCGACCUGAGAGGGUGAUCGGCCACACUGGGACUGAGACACGGCCCAGACUCCUACGGGAGGCAGCAGUAGGGAAUCUUCGGCAAUGGACGAAAGUCUGACCGAGCAACGCCGCGUGAGUGAAGAAGGUUUUCGGAUCGUAAAACUCUGUUGUUAGAGAAGAACAAGGACGUUAGUAACUGAACGUCCCCUGACGGUAUCUAACCAGAAAGCCACGGCUAACUACGUGCCAGCAGCCGCGGUAAUACGUAGGUGGCAAGCGUUGUCCGGAUUUAUUGGGCGUAAAGCGAGCGCAGGCGGUUUCUUAAGUCUG
rnacentral:rRNA from 1 species